CCUACGGGAGGCAGCAGUGGGGAAUAUUGCACAAUGGGGGGAACCCUGAUGCAGCAACGCCGCGUGGGUGAAGACGUACUUCGGUAUGUAAAGCCCUGUCAGCAGGGAAGAAAAUGCCGGUACCUGACCAAGAAGCCCCGGCUAACUACGUGCCAGCAGCCGCGGUAUUACGUAGGGGGCACGCGUUAUCCGGAUUUCCUGGGUGUAAAGGGAGCGUAGACGGCAAGGCAAGUCUGGAGUGAAAGCCCGUGGCUCAACCACGGGACUGCUUUGGAAACGGUGUUGCUGGAGUGCAGGAGGGGUAAGCGGAAUUCCUAGUGUAGCGGUGAAAUGCGGAGAUAUUAGGAGGAACACCGGUGGCGAAGGCGGCUUACUGGACUGUAACUGACGUUGAGGCUCGAAGGCGUGGGGAGCAAACAGGAUUAGAUACCCUGGUAGUC
rnacentral:rRNA from 1 species